AGUUAAAUUACGAUGAGUAUGCUUGGAUAACAUUAGUAGCUCAGGCUCUCGCUCAGUACUUGUCAACAUGGCAUUGGUAGCUUAUGGCACAACAGGUUAAGCGCUCUGAUUAAAAUAACAGGAUUCUGACACAGAUUCAUAACGUUAAACAUAUUCACACAGGCUAAACUCAGCUGUAGCGUGCUAUAGUGAAAGAUUACUCUGACUGCUCCUAUACUAAAGCAAGUUGGAGAAGAGACAAGCUUAGUGCAUUAUGUGUAGAGCCAGUUGGGUAUUUAUGUACAGUAUCUGCGGUCUAUAAGCAGGUUUGUGUUGCCCUAGGAAAUAGUACAGGCUAGCAAUACAUCACAUAUCAGACAGUUGUAGGGCUAUUGUCAACAGUGCCAUUUUCCAUAGAUUUGGCGUAUAUUCCAAAUUGUAAGACUAGCAUGGUGGGGAUGUUAGAAGUGUUUUGCAAGAUACCAUGUAGUAAGGCAUAGACAUAUUGUGCAUUCUGGGCAUAAGAUAAGCAUAGUUAACAGAUUAGGCUGGCUGUUGGUUUAGGCAGCAUUAGGUCACAUUGCUUGCAUGGGAAAAACAAAAAAAGAUCCUUAUAGGAA